rnacentral:lncRNA from 1 species
AAUGAGAGAAAUACCUCAUUUGUCCCCAUACAUAUCUCUAUGGGUUGCAAAAUUGCAGCUAAACCCCUCAACUUUCACUUUAAUACACUGCCCGAACUGGGCAGUUCGCGCAGGCAGGGACCGGUCUCUCCUUUAGGGACCGGUUCCCGAACGUCGUCCCAGCGCAGCCACAACUGCUGCGCGCAGUGCAACCGGUCUCUCUUUGGGAGACCGGUCUCUCGGGGACCGGUCUCUCGGACAGGGAUCGGUUCCCGAGAGCUACUUUCUCAGGACUUAGCCGAUUUUUCGGCUGUCUCAAUUCAUGCGCGUUCGGGGACCGGUCUCUCCCACCAGGGACCGGUCCCCGAGAGCUCAAAAUCUGCGGUUUUGCAGAAUUUGAUUCUUUAGCUCUCGAAAACCUCCCGUAACUCACUUUUAAUCACUUUAACACCUUCGGACUUUCCGAAGUAUACCAUCCUCGCACUUUGGUCAAUUUGACUAAAGUUCGAUAUUUAUUUUCCGAAGUUUUGGCAUAUUACAUUCUCCACCCCUUAAAAUAAUUUCGUCCGCGAAAUUACACAUACCUUAACUCGUCGAUUCGAAUAGAUGCGGGUACUCUCGCCGCAUAGUUUCCUCGAGCUCCCA